rnacentral:rRNA from 1 species
UACGUAGGGUGCAAGCGUUGUCCGGAAUUAUUGGGCGUAAAGAGCUCGUAGGCGGUCUGUCGCGUCGGCUGUGAAAUCCCGAGGCUCAACCUCGGGUCUGCAGUCGAUACGGGCAAACUAGAGUAUUGCAGGGGAGACUGGAAUUCCUGGUGUAGCGGUGAAAUGCGUAGAGAUCCGGAGGAACACCAGAGGCGAAGGCGGCACCCUGGGACAAAACUGACGCUGAGACGCGAAAGCAUGGGUAGCGAACGGGG